rnacentral:rRNA from 1 species
CAUGCAAGUCGAGCGGUAGCACAGAGAGCUUGCUCUCGGGUGACGAGCGGCGGACGGGUGAGUAAUGUCUGGGAAACUGCCUGAUGGAGGGGGAUAACUACUGGAAACGGUAGCUAAUACCGCAUAACGUCGCAAGACCAAAGUGGGGGACCUUCGGGCCUCAUGCCAUCAGAUGUGCCCAGAUGGGAUUAGCUAGUAGGUGGGGUAAUGGCUCACCUAGGCGACGAUCCCUAGCUGGUCUGAGAGGAUGACCAGCCACACUGGAACUGAGACACGGUCCAGACUCCUACGGGAGGCAGCAGUGGGGAAUAUUGCACAAUGGGCGCAAGCCUGAUGCAGCCAUGCCGCGUGUAUGAAGAAGGCCUUCGGGUUGUAAAGUACUUUCAGCGAGGAGGAAGGCAUUAAGGUUAAUAACCUUGGUGAUUGACGUUACUCGCAGAAGAAGCACCGGCUAACUCCGUGCCAGCAGCCGCGGUAAUACGGAGGGUGCAAGCGUUAAUCGGAAUUACUGGGCGUAAAGCGCACGCAGGCGGUCUGUCAAGUCGGAUGUGAAAUCCCCGGGCUCAACCUGGGAACUGCAUUCGAAACUGGCAGGCUAGAGUCUUGUAGAGGGGGGUAGAAUUCCAGGUGUAGCGGUGAAAUGCGUAGAGAUCUGGAGGAAUACCGGUGGCGAAGGCGGCCCCCUGGACAAAGACUGACGCUCAGGUGCGAAAGCGUGGGGAGCAAACAGGAUUAGAUACCCUGGUAGUCCACGCCGUAAACGAUGUCGACUUGGAGGUUGUGCCCUUGAGGCGUGGCUUCCGGAGCUAACGCGUUAAGUCGACCGCCUGGGGAGUACGGCCGCAAGGUUAAAACUCAAAUGAAUUGACGGGGGCCCGCACAAGCGGUGGAGCAUGUGGUUUAAUUCGAUGCAACGCGAAGAACCUUACCUACUCUUGACAUCCAGAGAACUUAGCAGAGAUGCUUUGGUGCCUUCGGGAACUCUGAGACAGGUGCUGCAUGGCUGUCGUCAGCUCGUGUUGUGAAAUGUUGGGUUAAGUCCCGCAACGAGCGCAACCCUUAUCCUUUGUUGCCAGCGGUUCGGCCGGGAACUCAAAGGAGACUGCCAGUGAUAAACUGGAGGAAGGUGGGGAUGACGUCAAGUCAUCAUGGCCCUUACGAGUAGGGCUACACACGUGCUACAAUGGCAUAUACAAAGAGAAGCGACCUCGCGAGAGCAAGCGGACCUCAUAAAGUAUGUCGUAGUCCGGAUUGGAGUCUGCAACUCGACUCCAUGAAGUCGGAAUCGCUAGUAAUCGUAGAUCAGAAUGCUACGGUGAAUACGUUCCCGGGCCUUGUACACACCGCCCGUCACACCAUGGGAGUGGGUUGCAAAAGAAGUAGGUAGCUUANCCUUCGGGAGGGCGCUACCAC